rnacentral:rRNA from 1 species
ACUCCUACGGGAGGCAGCAGUGGGGAAUUUUGGACAAUGGGCGAAAGCCUGAUCCAGCAAUGCCGCGUGAGUGAAGAAGGCCUUCGGGUUGUAAAGCUCUUUUGUCAGGGAAGAAACGGUGAAAGCUAAUAUCUUUUGCUAAUGACGGUACCUGAAGAAUAAGCACCGGCUAACUACGUGCCAGCAGCCGCGGUAAUACGUAGGGUGCAAGCGUUAAUCGGAAUUACUGGGCGUAAAGCGUGCGCAGGCGGUUUUGUAAGUCUGAUGUGAAAUCCCCGGGCUCAACCUGGGAAUUGCAUUGGAGACUGCAAGGCUAGAAUCUGGCAGAGGGGGGUAGAAUUCCACGUGUAUCAGUGAAAUGCGUAGAUAUGUGGAGGAACACCGAUGGCGAAGGCAGCCCCCUGGGUCAAGAUUGACGCUCAUGCACGAAAGCGUGGGGAGCAAACAGGAUUAGAUACCCGAGUAGUCCCAU